UACGUAGGGUGCAAGCGUUGUCCGGAAUUAUUGGGCGUAAAGAGCUCGUAGGCGGUCUGUCGCAUCGGCUGUGAAAACCCGGAGCUCAACUCCGGGCCUGCAGUCGAUACGGGCAAACUGGAGUACUGCAGGGGAGACUGGAAUUCCUGGUGUAGCGGUGAAAUGCGCAGAUAUCAGGAGGAACACCGGUGGCGAAGGCGGGUCUCUGGGCAGUAACUGACGCUGAGGAGCGAAAGCGUGGGGAGCGAACAGG
rnacentral:rRNA from 1 species